rnacentral:tRNA from 1 species
GGAGCUGUGGCAUAGAGGGUAAAGCUGCUGCCUGCAGUGCUGGCAUCCUGUAUGGGUACUGGUUAGAAUCCUGGCUGCUCCA